UACGGAGGGUGCAAACGUUAUUCGGAAUCACUGGGCUUAAAGGGUGCGUAGGCGGCCAUGUAAGUGAGGUGUGAAAUCCCUCGGCUCAACCGAGGAACUGCGCUUCAUACUGCAUGGCUUGAGGGAGACAGGGGUAAGCGGAACUGAUGGUGGAGCGGUGAAAUGCGUUGAUAUCAUCAGGAACACUGGUGGCGAAAGCGGCUUACUGGGUCUCUUCUGACGCUGAGGUACGAAAGCUAGGGUAGUGAACGGG
rnacentral:rRNA from 1 species